GCCUGGAUAGCUUAGUCGGUAGAACGUUAGGCUGGUAACCUAAUGGUCCCGGGUUCGAGUCGCUGUCUGGGCG